rnacentral:rRNA from 1 species
CCUACGGGAGGCAGCAGUAGGGAUAUUCACAAUGAGCGAAASUUGAUGGAGCGACACAGCGUGCAGGAAGACGGUCUUCGGAUUGUAAACUGCUGUUAUAAGGGAAGAACAACAAGUAUAGGAAAUGAUAUUUGUCUGACGGUACCUUAUCAGAAAGSACCGGNAACUAUGUGCCAGC